rnacentral:rRNA from 1 species
AGAGUUUGAUCCUGGCUCAGGAUGAACGCUGGCGGCGUGCCUAACACAUGCAAGUCGAACGGUCCCGACUUCGGUCGGGAUAGUGGCGGGCGGGUGCGUAACACGUAAGUAAUCUACCCUUAAGACUGGGAUAACUCCGCGAAAGCGGGGCUAAUACCGGAUGUAGUCCUCAGGGUAUUCGCCUGAGGAUUAAAUGGAAUUCGCAAGGAAACCGCUUGAGGAUGAGCUUGCGGCCUAUCAGCUUGUUGGUGAGGUAAUGGCUCACCAAGGCUAUGACGGGUAGCUGGUCUGAGAGGACGACCAGCCACACUCGCACUGAGACACGGGCGAGACUUCUACGGGAGGCAGCAGUGAGGAAUAUUCCGCAAUGGGCGAAAGCCUGACGGAGCGACGCCGUGUGGGUGAUGAAGUUCUUCGGGAUGUAAAACCCUGUCAGAGGGGACGAUAUUGACGGUACCCUCAGAGGAAGCCCCGGCUAACUACGUGCCAGCAGCCGCGGUAAUACGUAGGGGGCAAGCGUUGUCCGGAAUCAUUGGGCGUAAAGUGCACGUAGGCGGCAGCUUAAGUCGAGUGUUAAAGGUAUGGGCUCAACUUAUACAUCGCGCUCGAUACUGGGUUGCUAGAGAGAGUCAGAGGGAAGCAGAACUUCCGGUGUAGCGGUGAAAUGCGUAGAUAUCGGAAGGAACACCAGUGGCGAAGGCGGCUUCCUGGGGCUCUUCUAACGCUGAGGUGCGAAAGCUAGGGGAGCGAACGGGAUUAGAUACCCCGGUAGUCCUAGCUGUAAACGAUGUUCACUAGGUGUUUGUGGUAUCGACCCCACGAGUGCCGCAGCUAACGCGAUAAGUGAACCGCCUGGGGAGUACGGCCGCAAGGCUAAAACUCAAAAGAAUUGACGGGGGCCCGCACAAGCGGUGGAGCAUGUGGUUCAAUUCGAUGCUACGCGAAAAACCUUACCUGGGUUUGACAUUCACGUAGUAGAAGCCAGAAAUGGUAACGACCCGCCUUUGGCGGGAGCGUGGACAGGUGCUGCAUGGCUGUCGUCAGCUCGUGCCGUGAGGUGUUGGGUUAAGUCCCGCAACGAGCGCAACCCUCGCUGUUAGUUACACGUGUCUAACGGGACUGCCGGUAUCAAACCGGAGGAAGGUGGGGAUGACGUCAAGUCAGCAUGGCCUUUAUGUCCAGGGCUACACACACGCUACAAUGGCCGGUACAACGGGUUGCCAAGUCGCGAGGCGGAGCUAAUCCUCCAAAGCCGGUCUCAGUUCGGAUUGCAGGCUGCAACUCGCCUGCAUGAAGUUGGAGUUGCUAGUAACCGCAGGUCAGCUAUACUGCGGUGAAUACGUUCCCGGGCCUUGUACACACCGCCCGUCACGUCAUGGGAGUCGGUAACACCUGAAGCCGGUGAGCUAACCGAAAGGAGGCAACUGUCUAAGGUGGGACUGGUGACUGGGACGAAGUCGUAACAAGGUAACC